rnacentral:lncRNA from 1 species
UCUCCGCAACGAGAGCCGCCAUCUUCUCGCGCCUAACGUUUUGUAUGGCUUUGUUCUCUGCAAUCCGCGAACACAGCUCAUCGGUGGAUGCACGUCUGCUCGGCAUCGCAAUGCGGCCUGCGUCAUUUUCUGGUGUUCGCGCAAUCGGUGUGAAACAUGUCACAUGUGAAAUGUUUGAUAGAAGUGCCUCACGUCCAAGUCAAGCCGCCGUACGGGUGUAUGGCUGUGCGCCCCGUUCUCGGAACCGUCGACGGGUUUCCGGCAUGCGGAUUUCAGCGUUGGGACUCGACUUUUGGUGAGGAUGUCGAUCGACCUUGGGCCUGGUGACAGCACACCCGACAUCGCCAAAGUGCAGCCUAUCAGUUGAGUGCCCCCGAAUGGACCAUCAACAUCGGAAAAUGAAGCAGAGCCAGGGGGAAAAGGUUCCGGUAACACCAUGCAUUCAGUAUGGUGGCCCAGACGUAUAUGCAAGCAACCUCCUUCAUGUGGACCAAGAACUACUCUGCAGUGUCUCGCAGACUUCCAUGCGAAGCCCUCAACAUUCUCGUCUCAGUGGAAUGGCUGCUCAUCUAUCUGCGUGUCCAUCACCAAGACGGCCAGUUGUAAAGCUCCUGUACCCGUUUAAGAAAGCCUAAUGAUUCUUUUUAUUUAGUUUUCACGGUUGGCCGUAGAAUCUUAACAUUUUG